rnacentral:rRNA from 1 species
UACGGGGGGGGCAAGCGUUGUUCGGAAUUACUGGGCGUAAAGGGCUCGUAGGUGGCCAACUAAGUCAGACGUGAAAUCCCUCGGCUUAACCGGGGAACUGCGUCUGAUACUGGAUGGCUAGAGAUUGGGAGAGGGAUGCGGAAUUCCAGGUGUAGCGGUGAAAUGCGUAGAUAUCUGGAGGAACACCGGUGGCGAAGGCGGCAUCCUGGACCGAGAUUGACGCUGAUGCGCGAAAGCCAGGGGAGCAAACGGG